CAGGCACAGCUCAUUAGCAUAUUUUGUCUGCCGGGGGUGGGAGUGCCUGCAGCAUGUCAGUGAGAGAUACUUCAGUGUACCCUAUAGCCCCUUUCCUAUUGCUGCUGGAGUUAUGCAGUGUAGAUUCUAUUUCCUCUUAUCUGCAGUUACAUGUACUGUGGUAAGGGGAAAGGACAGACAGCUUCAGGCAGACAAGCAGAGCGCAGGCUCUGUUAACAGGAGGGAAUGCUGAUCUGUAAGCAGGAGGCUGAAGCUGUGGGUGUAGCCAGUUCCCGUUUCACUCCUGGACCAUCUGCAGCAACAAGUCAGGAAGUUACUACAAGGUCCUGUGUGUGCAGAACUCCACACUACCACACCAUUUCCAUCCUUUUGUCAUUUUGCCAAGUUUCGCUGCUCUACUCGCAAGUAUUAUCUCAAGCGAGUUUGGUGUACCCAACCUGUAAAGGACACUGUCGCAUAUUCUAACAUAGAACCUGUUGGAAAGUCAGGUGUGGCCUUUACAGAUUUAUCUGCCACUCAGACCACCGAGCCCACUGGCCCUUUUGUACCAUCCUCUGAGCCUGCAACAACAACUGUAGGUGCUAAGGAGGGCCUAGCCACCAAAAACAGACGAUCUGUUAAAGACUUUAAGUUGAGAUCAGAAGCCUCUUCAUGGGAGCAAUCAGAACAGUACCAACCUCCCUAAAACCAAAUCCAUCUCCAGGUCUGUGGAAAACAAACAGCAGUGGAUAAAUAAGAUUAGAAGUGAUAUUGCUUCCUCGCUAAAUUCCAAACUGACUAAGCCCAAGGCAGAUAGAAAAAGCUCAGAGACUAAAAGUCCAUUGCGCAAGAUCAUUAACAAACUAAAUUCCAAACUGACUACGCACAAGGCAGAUAGAAAGAGCCCAGAGAGUACCAGUCCAAUGCGCAAGAUCAUUAACAAACUAAAUUCCAAACUGACUACGCACAAGGCAGAUAGAAAGAGCCCAGAGAGCACAAGUCCAAUGCGCACGAUCAUUAACAAACUAAAAGCAAGUGCAGGGAAAAAAGGCAAAGGUCCAACCACAUAUGCUGCAGCCCCAAGAACUAAGACCAGUGUCUAUGGGGAAGAAUCUACGUAUGUUGCAGAAUCAGUCCACUGACUGCAAUCUAAUUGCUUGGAGAAGGCUAGAUGACAACAAGAUUGUCAUUAUAAUCUAAUUGUCAUCUAGCCUUCUCCUGUGGUCUCAUUGUCAUCUAGCCUAUUGUUGCAGUCUAAUUGUAAUCUAAUUGUUAUCUACCUUCUCCUGCUGUCUCAUUGUCAUCUAUUCUUCUCAUUUGGUCUCAUUGUCAUCUAGCCUUUUCCUGUGGUCUAAUUUUUAUCUAAUUGUCAUCUAACGUUCUGUGGUCUUAUAGUCAUCUAGCCUUCUCCUGCAGCCUCAAUUUCAUCUAAUUGUUAUCUAGCUUUCUCCUGCAAGCUCAUUGUUAUCUAGCCUUCUCCUGCAGUUUCAAUGUCAUCUAUGUUUCUCCUGCAGUCUCUUUGUCAUCUAAUUGUUAUCUAGCCUUAUCCUGCAGCCUCAUUGUCAUCUAAUUGUUAUCUAGCCUUAUCCUGCAAGCUUAUUGUUAUCUAGCCUUUUUAUGCAGUCUCACUGUAAUCAACCCUUCUGCAGUCUCAUUGCCAUCUAGCCAUCUCCUGCAGCCUUAUUGCCAUCUAGCCAUCUCCUGCAGUCAGUCUUAUUGCCAUCUAGCCAUCUCCUGCAGCCUUAUUGCCAUCUAGCCAUCUCCUGCAGCCUUAUUGCCAUCUAGUCAUCUCCUGCAGCCUUAUUGCCAUCUAGCCAUCUCCUGCAGCCUUAUUGCCAUCUAGCCAUCUCCUGCAGCCUUAUUGCCAUCUAGCCAUCUCCUGCAGCCUUAUUGCCAUCUCCUGCAGCCUUAUUGCCAUCCAGCCAUCUCCUGCAGCCUUAUUGCCAUCUAGCCAUCUCCUGCAGCCUUAUUGCCAUCUCCUGCAGCCUUAUUGCCAUCUCCUGCAGCCUUAUUGCCAUCUAGCCAUCACCUGCAGCCUUAUUGCCAUCUCCUGCAGCCUUAUCGCCAUCUAGCCAUGUCCUGCAGCCUUAUCGCCAUCUAGCCAUCUCCUGCAGCCUUAUUGCCAUCUAGCCAUCUCCUGCAGCCUUAUCGCCAUCUAGCCAUCUCCUGCAGCCUUAUAGCCAUCUAGCCAUCUCCUGCAGCCUUAUCGCCAUCUAGCCAUCUCCUGCAGCCUUAUCGCCAUCUAGCCAUCUCCUGCAGCCUUAUCGCCAUCUAGCCAUCUCCUGCAGCCUUAUUGCCAUCUAGCCAUCUCCUGCAGCCUUAUCGCCAUCUAGCCAUCUCCUGCAAGCCUUAUUGUCAUCUAGCCAUCUCCUGCAGCCUUAUUGCCAUCUAGCCAUCUCCUGCAGCCUUAUUGCCAUCUAGCCAUCUCCAGCAGCUUUAUUGCCAUCUAGCCAUCGCCUGCAGCCUUAUUGCCAUCUAGCCAUCUCCUGCAUCCUUAUUGCCAUCUAGCCAUCUCCUGCAGCCUUAUUGCCAUCUAGCCAUCUCCUGCAGCCUUAUUGCCAUCUAGCCAUCUCCUACAGCCUUAUUGCCAUCUAGCCAUCUCCUGCAGCCUUAUUGCCAUCUAGCCAUCUCCUGCAGCCUUAUUGCCAUCUAGCCAUCUCCUGCAGCUUUAUUGCCAUCUAGCCAUCUUCUGCAGCCUUACUGCCAUCUCCUGCAGCCUUAUUGUCAUCUAGCCAUCUCCUGCAGCCUUAUUGCCAUCUCCUGCAGCCUUAUUGUCAACUAGCCAUCUCCUGCAGCCUUAUUGUCAUCUAGCCAUCUCCUGCAGCCUUACUGCCAUCUCCUGCAGCCUUAUUGUCAUCUAGCCAUCUCCUGCAGCUUUAUUGCCAUCUCCUGCAGCCUUAUUGUCUUCUAGCCAUCUCCUGCAGCCUAAUUGCCAUCUAGCCAUCUCCUACAGCCUUAUUGCCAUCUAGCCAUCUCCUGCAGCCUUAUUGCCAUCUAGCCAUCUCCUGCAGCCUUAUUGCCAUCUAGCCAUCUCCUACAGCCUUAUUGCCAUCUAGCCAUCUCCUGCAGCCUUAUUGCCAUCUAGCCAUCUCCUGCAGCCUUAUUGCCAUCUGGCCAUCUCCUGCAGCCUUAUUGUCAUCUAGCCAUCUCCUGCAGCCUUAUUGUCAUCUAGCCAUCUCCUGCAGCCUUAUUGCCAUCUACCCAUCUCCUGCAGCCUUAUUGCCAUCUAGCCAUCUUCUGCAGCCUUAUUGCCAUCUAGCCAUCUCCUACAGCCUUAUUGCCAUCUAGUCAUCUCCUACAGCCUUAUUGUCAUCUAGCCAUCUCCUGCAGCCUUAUUGCCAUCUCCUGCAGCCUUAUUGCCAUCUCCUGCAGCCGUAUUGCCAUCUAGCCAUCUCCUGCAGCCUUAUUGCCAUCUAGCCAUCUCCUGCAGCCUUAUUGCCAUCUCCUGCAGCCUUAUUGCCAUCUAGCCAUCUCCUGCAGCCUUAUUGCCAUCUAGCCAUCUCCUGCAGCUUUAUUGCCAUCUCCUGCAGCCUUAUUGCCAUCUAGCCAUCUCCUGCAGCCUUAUUGCCAUCUAGCCAUCUCCUGCAGCCUUAUUGUCAUCUAGCCAUCUCCUGCCUUAUUGCCAUCUAGCCAUCUCCUGCAGCCUUAUUGCCAUCUAGCCAUCUCCUGCAGCCUUAUUGCCAUCUCCUGCAGCCUUAUUGCCAUCUAGCCAUCUCCUGCAGCCUUAUUGCCAUCUCCUGCAGCCUUAUUGCCAUCUAGCCAUCUCCUGCAGCCUUAUUGCCAUCUAACCAUCUCCUGCAGCCUUAUUGCCAUCUAGCCAUCUCCUGCAGCCUUAUUGCCAUCUAGCCAUCUCCUGCAGCCUUAUUGCCAUCUCCUACAGUCUUAUUGCCAUCUAGCCAUCUCCUGCAGCCGUAUUGCCAUCUCCUGCAGCCUUAUUGCCAUCUAGCCAUCUCCUGCAGCCUUAUUGCCAUCUAGCCAUCUCCUGCAGCCUUAUUGCCAUCUAGCCAUCUCCUGCAGCCUUAUUGCCAUCUAGCCAUCUCCUACAGCCUUCUUGCCAUCUAGCCAUCUCCUACAGCCUUAUUGCCAUCUAGCCAUCUCCUGCUGCCUUAUUGCCAUCUCCUGCAGCCUUAUUGCCAUCUAGCCAUCUCCUGCAGCCUUAUUGCCAUCUAGCCAUCUCCUGCAGCCUUAUUGCCAUCUAGCCAUCUCCUGCAUCCUUAUUGCCAUCUCCUGCAGCCUUAUUGCCAUCUAGCCAUCUCCUGCAGCCUUAUUGCCAUCUAGCCAUCUCCUGCAGCCUUAUUGCCAUCUCCUACAGUCUUAUUGCCAUCUAGCCAUCUCCUGCAGCCUUAUCGCCAUCUAGCCAUCUCCUGCAGCCUUAUCGCCAUCUAGCCAUCUCCUGCAGUCUUAUCGCCAUCUAGCCAUCUCCUGCAGCCUUAUCGCCAUCUAGCCAUCUCCUGCAAGCCUUAUUGUCAUCUAGCCAUCUUCUGCAGCCUUAUUGCCAUCUAGCCAUCUCCUGCAGCCUUAUUGCCAUCUAGCCAUCUCCAGCAGCUUUAUUACCAUCUAGCCAUCGCCUGCAGCCUUAUUGCCAUCUAGCCAUCUCCUGCAUCCUUAUUGCCAUCUAGCCAUCUCCUGCAGCCUUAUUGCCAUCUAGCCAUCUCCUGCAGCCUUAUUGCCAUCUAGCCAUCUCCUACAGCCUUAUUGCCAUCUAGCCAUCUCCUGCAGCCUUAUUGCCAUCUAGCCAUCUCCUGCAGCCUUAUUGCCAUCUCCUGCAGCCUUAUUGCCAUCUAGCCAUCUCCUGCAGCUUUAUUGCCAUCUAGCCAUCUUCUGCAGCCUUACUGCCAUCUCCUGCAGCCUUAUUGUCAUCUAGCCAUCUCCUGCAGCCUUAUUGCCAUCUCCUGCAGCCUUAUUGUCAUCUAGCCAUCUCCUGCAGCCUUAUUGUCAUCUGGCCAUCUCCUGCAGCCUUACUGCCAUCUCCUGCAGCCUUAUUGUCAUCUAGCCAUCUCCUGCAGCUUUAUUGCCAUCUCCUGCAGCCUUAUUGUCUUCUAGCCAUCUCCUGCAACCUUAUUGCCAUCUCCUGCAGCCUUAUUACCAUCUAGCCAUCUCCUGCAGCCUUAUUGCCAUCUAGCCAUCUCCUACAGCCUUAUUGCCAUCUAGCCAUCUCCUGCAGCCUUAUUGCCAUCUAGCCAUCUCCUGCAGCCUUAUUGCCAUCUAGCCAUCUCCUACAGCCUUAUUGCCAUCUAGCCAUCUCCUGCAGCCUUAUUGCCAUCUAGCCAUCUCCUGCAGCCUUAUUGCCAUCUGGCCAUCUCCUGCAGCCUUAUUGUCAUCUAGCCAUCUCCUGCAGCCUUAUUGUCAUCUAGCCAUCUCCUGCAGCCUUAUUGCCAUCUAGCCAUCUCCUGCAGCCUUAUUGCCAUCUAGCCAUCUCCUGCAUCCUUAUUGCCAUCUCCUGCAGCCUUAUUGCCAUCUAACCAUCUCCUGCAGCCUUAUUGCCAUCUAGCCAUCUCCUGCAGCCUUAUUGCCAUCUAGCCAUCUCCUGCAGCCUUAUUGCCAUCUAGCCAUCUCCUGCAGCCUUAUUGCCAUCUAGCCAUCUCCUGCAGCCUUAUUGCCAUCUCCUACAGUCUUAUUGCCAUCUAGCCAUCUCCUGCAGCCUUAUAGCCAUCUAGCCAUCUCCUGCAGCCUUAUCGCCAUCUAGCCAUCUCCUGCAGCCUUAUCGCCAUCUAGCCAUCUCCUGCAGCCUUAUCGCCAUCUAGCCAUCUCCUGCAGUCUUAUUGCCAUCUAGCCAUCUCCUGCAGCCUUAUCGCCAUCUAGCCAUCUCCUGCAAGCCUUAUUGUCAUCUAGCCAUCUUCUGCAGCCUUAUUGCCAUCUAGCCAUCUCCUGCAGCCUUAUUGCCAUCUAGCCAUCUCCAGCAGCUUUAUUGCCAUCUAGCCAUCGCCUGCAGCCUUAUUGCCAUCUAGCCAUCUCCUGCAGCCUUAUUGCCAUCUAGCCAUCUCCUGCAGCCUUAUUGCCAUCUAGCCAUCUCCUGCAGCCUUAUUGCCAUCUAGCCAUCUCCUACAGCCUUAUUGCCAUCUAGCCAUCUCCUGCAGCCUUAUUGCCAUCUAGCCAUCUCCUGCAGCCUUAUUGCCAUCUCCUGCAGCCUUAUUGCCAUCUAGCCAUCUCCUGCAGCUUUAUUGCCAUCUAGCCAUCUUCUGCAGCCUUACUGCCAUCUCCUGCAGCCUUAUUGUCAUCUAGCCAUCUCCUGCAGCCUUAUUGCCAUCUCCUGCAGCCUUAUUGUCAUCUAGCCAUCUCCUGCAGCCUUAUUGUCAUCUGGCCAUCUCCUGCAGCCUUACUGCCAUCUCCUGCAGCCUUAUUUUCAUCUAGCCAUCUCCUGCAGCUUUAUUGCCAUCUCCUGCAGCCUUAUUGUCUUCUAGCCAUCUCCUGCAACCUUAUUGCCAUCUCCUGCAGCCUUAUUACCAUCUAGCCAUCUCCUGCAGCCUUAUUGCCAUCUAGCCAUCUCCUACAGCCUUAUUGCCAUCUAGCCAUCUCCUGCAGCCUUAUUGCCAUCUAGCCAUCUCCUGCAGCCUUAUUGCCAUCUAGCCAUCUCCUACAGCCUUAUUGCCAUCUAGCCAUCUCCUGCAGCCUUAUUGCCAUCUAGCCAUCUCCUGCAGCCUUAUUGCCAUCUGGCCAUCUCCUGCAGCCUUAUUGUCAUCUAGCCAUCUCCUGCAGCCUUAUUGUCAUCUAGCCAUCUCCUGCAGCCUUAUUGCCAUCUACCCAUCUCCUGCAGCCUUAUUGCCAUCUAGCCAUCUUCUGCAGCCUUAUUGCCAUCUAGCCAUCUCCUACAGCCUUAUUGCCAUCUAGCCAUCUCCUACAGCCUUAUUGUCAUCUAGCCAUCUCCUGCAGCCGUAUUGCCAUCUCCUGCAGCCUUAUUGCCAUCUCCUGCAGCCUUAUUGCCAUCUAGCCAUCUCCUGCAGCCUUAUUGCCAUCUCCUGCAGCCUUAUUGCCAUCUAGCCAUCUCCUGCAGCCUUAUUGCCAUCUAGCCAUCUCCUGCAGCCUUAUUGCCAUCUCCUGCAGCCUUAUUGCCAUCUAGCCAUCUCCUGCAGCCUUAUUGCCAUCUAGCCAUCUCCUGCAGCCUUAUUGUCAUCUAGCCAUAUCCUGCCUUAUUGUCAUCUAGCCAUCUCCUGCAGCCUUAUUGCCAUCUCCUGCAGCCUUAUUGCCAUCUAGCCAUCUCCUGCAGCCUUAUUGCCAUCUCCUGCAGCCUUAUUGCCAUCUCCUGCAGCCUUAUUGCCAUCUAGCCAUCUCCUGCAGCCUUAUUGCCAUCUAGCCAUCUCCUGCAGCCUUAUUGCCAUCUAGCCAUCUCCUGCAUCCUUAUUGCCAUCUCCUGCAGCCUUAUUGCCAUCUAACCAUCUCCUGCAGCCUUAUUGCCAUCUAGCCAUCUCCUGCAGCCUUAUUGCCAUCUAGCCAUCUCCUGCAGCCUUAUUGCCAUCUCCUACAGUCUUAUUGCCAUCUAGCCAUCUCCUGCAGCCGUAUUGCCAUCUCCUGCAGCCUUAUUGCCAUCUAGCCAUCUCCUGCAGCCUUAUUGCCAUCUAGCCAUCUCCUGCAGCCUUAUUGCCAUCUAGCCAUCUCCUGCAGCCUUAUUGCCAUCUAGCCAUCUCCUACAGCCUUCUUGCCAUCUAGCCAUCUCCUACAGCCUUAUUGCCAUCUAGCCAUCUCCUGCUGCCUUAUUGCCAUCUCCUGCAGCCUUAUUGCCAUCUAGCCAUCUCCUGCAGCCUUAUUGCCAUCUAGCCAUCUCCUGCAGCCUUAUUGCCAUCUCCUGCAGCCUUAUUGCCAUCUAGCCAUCUCCUGCAGCCUUAUUGCCAUCCCAUGCAGCCUUAUUGCCAUCUAGCCAACUCCUGCAGCCUUAUCGCCAUCUAGCCAUCUCCUGCAGCCUUAUCGCCAUCUAGCCAUCUCCUGCAGCCUUAUCGCCAUCUAGCCAUCUCCUGCAGCCUUAUCGCCAUUUAGCCAUCUCCUGCAGCCUUAUUGCCAUCUAGCCAUCUCCUACAGCCUUAUUGCCAUCUAGUCAUCUCCUGCAGCCUUAUUGCCAUCUAGUCAUCUCCUACAGCCUUAUUGCCAUCUAGCCAUCUCCUGCAGCCUUAUUGCCAUCUAGCCAUCUCCUGCAGCCGUAUUGCCACCUAGCCAUCUCCUGCAGCCUUAUAGCCAUCUAGUCAUCUCAUCUUUAAUGCCAUCUAGCCAUCUCCUGCAGCCUUAUUGCCAUCUAGUCAUGUCCUACAGCCUUAUUGCCAUCUAGCCUUCUCCUGCAGUCUCACUGUCACCUAGUCUUCUCCUGCUGUCUCACUGUCAUCUGUCCUUCUCCUGCUGUCUCACUGUCAUCUGUCCUUCUCCUGCUGUCUCACUGUCAUCUGUCCUUGUCCUGCUGUCUCACUAUCAUCUGUCCUUCUCCUGCAGUCUCACUGUCACCUAGUCUUUUCCUGCUGUCUCACUAUCAUCUGUCCUUCUCCUGCAGUCUCACUGUCACCUAGUCUUCUCCUGCUGUCUCACUGUCAUCUGUCCUUCUCCUGCAGUCUCACUAUUAUAUAGCCUUCUCCUGCAGUCUCACUGUCACCUAGCCUGCUCCUGCUGUCUCAAUGUCAUCUGUCCUUCUCCUGCUGUCUCAAUGUCACCGGUCCUUCUCCUGCAGUCUCACUGUCAUCUGUCCUUCUGUGGUCUGUAUGAUUACCUUGUACUCUCUUUGAUAUCGGUAGUACUCUCUGUGAUAUCGGUAUUACAGUCUCUCUCUUGUUUCCCCUCUUGCAGUCUCACUGUCUACACCCUCUAUCAAUAUUGUGUUUGCUCUCUGUAAGUCUAUUUCAGUGCUCACUUUAACCCAGUGUCAACAAUAAGGCAUUAAUGAUUAUUGCAAUAAGAACCAAAUAAGGAGCCACAGAAAAGCAUUAUCUUUAUAGAAACCCUAACAAAAAAAAAGAUUGAGGGAAGUGGCUAUACAAACUAUAAAUUAUAACAUAGUACAAUACCAUGAUAUAAUAUUGGUUUAACGGCCCAACAAAAAUGCAUCGAUUGCCAAAACUGUAGUUACACAUAUGGGAUAUGUAAUGGUUGGAUUAAUUAUUAAUAAUAACUAUGUGGUGCCUUUUGCUACAUCCGUCCCAUAUUUGACAGUGCCAGUUUGAAAGUCCUACUACACUGUACAUACUUCUGCGCUCCCUACCCUAUAAAAAUCCUCUUUUUAUAAAGGCUUCUGUGAUGAAAAUCUAGAGGAAACCAAAGAAAAAUUAGCCUACAACAUUAAUACUUGUACACAAGACGUUAUCAGACAAGAUAAAGCCUUAUAUAUGUUAAACAAAAAAUAACAAAACAAAGUCUGCUUAUAAAAAUAAAACAAAGCUCUCAGCAUUCUGCAAAUGGUAUCCAAACGUUUCCUGAUACAAACCCAAGAAGACAACAAUGCGACUAUAGAUCAGACGUGUCCCAGAUCCACUCUGUUCUGAUUAGGGUCCAUAUUGUUGUCCAGGAAAGAUUUGAAUAAAACUCUGAUGAAGAGCAGACACACUUAUGGACAGCACCUCUACUGUCACCCUGAAGCCUAAAGUUAAUCCGUCCGAACUGACUAAAGUCUCUAAGAAGACAAAACAACCUGCACAGUUUAUGUACAAGAGAAAUAUCUGAGAAAGGCACAAAUAAUGUUUUUAUAAAUAAAGUUUUGUCUUCCAAAUUACAAAA